rnacentral:rRNA from 1 species
GACGAACGCUGGCGGCGUGCCUAAUACAUGCAAGUCGAACGCACUCUCGUUUAGAUUGAAGGAGCUUGCUCCUGAUUGAUAAACAUUUGAGUGAGUGGCGGACGGGUGAGUAACACGUGGGUAACCUGCCCUAAAGUGGGGGAUAACAUUUGGAAACAGAUGCUAAUACCGCAUAAAACCUAAACACCGCAUGGUGUAGGGUUGAAAGAUGGUUUCGGCUAUCACUUUAGGAUGGACCCGCGGUGCAUUAGUUAGUUGGUGAGGUAAAGGCUCACCAAGACCGUGAUGCAUAGCCGACCUGAGAGGGUAAUCGGCCACACUGGGACUGAGACACGGCCCAGACUCCUACGGGAGGCAGCAGUAGGGAAUCUUCCACAAAUGGACGAAAGUCUGAUGGAGCAACGCCGCGUGAGUGAAGAAGGUUUUCGGAUCGUAAAACUCUGUUGUUGGAGAAGAAUGUAUCUGAUAGUAACUGAUCAGGUAGUGACGGUAUCCAACCAGAAAGCC